UGGACUGUGGCUCAGUGGUAGAGCGCUUGCCUAGCAUGCAUGAAGCCCUGGGUUCCAUUCCUUAGCAUCACAU
rnacentral:tRNA from 1 species